rnacentral:rRNA from 1 species
UACGUAGGCAGCGAGCGUUGUUCGGAGUUACUGGGCGUAAAGAGUGCGUAGGCGGUUUUCUAAGUUUGGUGUGAAAUCUCCCGGCUUAACUGGGAGGGUGCGCCGAAGACUGGAAGGCUUGAGUAUGGGAGAGGUAAGCGGAAUUCCUGGUGUAGCGGUGAAAUGCGUAGAUAUCAGGAGGAACACCUGCGGUGUAGACGGCUUACUGGACCAUCACUGACGCUGAGGCACGAAAGCGUGGGUAGCAAACGGG